UAAGCGGAGGAAAAGAAACUAACAAGGAUUCCCCUAGUAACUGCGAGUGAAGCGGGAAAAGCUCAAAUUUAAAAUCUGGUGGUCUUUUGGCCGUCCGAGUUGUAAUUUAGAGAAGCGUCUUCCGCGCUGGACCGUACACAAGUCUCCUGGAACGGAGCGUCAUAGAGGGUGAGAAUCCCGUCUUUGGUACGGACCCCCAGGGCUUCUGUGAUGCGCUCUCGAAGAGUCGAGUUGUUUGGGAAUGCAGCUCAAAAUGGGUGGUGAACUCCAUCUAAAGCUAAAUAUUGGCGAGAGACCGAUAGCGAACAAGUACCGUGAGGGAAAGAUGAAAAGCACUUUGGAAAGAGAGUGAAACAGUACGUGAAAUUGUUGAAAGGGAAACGCUUGAAGUCAGUCGCGUCCGCCGAGACUCAGCCUCGCUCCGGCUUGGCGUAUUUCUCGGUCGACGGGUCAGCAUCAAUUUCGUCCCUCGGAUAAUGGCAAGGGAAAGGUGGCACCUUUGCGGGUGUGUUAUAGUCUUUUGUCGCAUGCGAGGGGUGAGAUUGAGGAACUCAGCACGCGCGCCCUCUGGGGUGUGUCGGGGCCUCGGCCCACGCCACGUGCUUAGGAUGCUGGCGUAAUGGCUUUAAACGACC
rnacentral:rRNA from 1 species